rnacentral:rRNA from 1 species
AUGGCGUCGUCGCAGGCGAAUCUGGACAAGAUGCAGCUCCGCCAGAGCUACCGCAACCUCUGGCACACCGACCUCCCCAACGCCAUCCAGGCCGACUUCCCCUACUGCUGCCUGUCGCUCUGGUGUGGGCCAUGCGUGUCAUACAUGCUUCGUAAAAGGGCUCUCUACAAUGACAUGUCAAGGUAUACGUGCUGUGCUGGCUAUAUGCCAUGUAGUGGCAAGUGUGGUGAAAGCAAAUGCCCAGAAUUCUGUCUUGCAACUGAGGUGUUUCUGUGCUUUGGUAAUUCAGUUGCUUCAACCCGCUUCUUGCUUCAAGACGAAUUCAACAUACAGACAACCAAGUGUGAUAACUGCAUCAUUGGUUUCAUGUUCUGCCUUCAACAAGUUGCUUGCAUCUUCUCAAUAGUUGCUGCUAUUGUCGGUAGUGAGGAACUUUCAGAGGCUUCCCAGAUCCUUUCCUGCCUGUCUGAUAUGGUCUACUGCUCGGUUUGCGCCUGUAUGCAGACACAGCACAAGGUUGAAAUGGACAAGAGGGAUGGGAAGUUCGGGCCACAGCCCAUGCAAGUGCCUCCAAUGCAGCAGAUGUCACGCAUCGAUCAGCCUGUCCCUCCACCCGCUGGCUAUGCACCACAACCAGCAUACGGCCAGCCUUAUGGUGCCUACCCACCUCCUCCAGCUCAGGGUUACCCACCGCCGCCAGCUCAAGGCUACCCACCGGCAGGUUACCCGCCAGCAGGUUACCCCCAGGCCCAGGGCAGUUCAUACCCUCCACCCGGUUCGUAUCCCCCACCUGGUUCCUACCCCCCUCAGCAGGGCUACUACGGAAAGUAA